UAGGGAAUCUUCCGCAAUGGACGCAAGUCUGACGGAGCAACGCCGCGUGAGUGAAGAAGGAUUUCGGUUCGUAAAACUCUGUUGUUAGAGAAGAACAGCGCAUAGAGUAACUGUUAUGCGUGUGACGGUAUCUAACCAGAAAGCCACGGCUAACUACGUGCCAGCAGCCGCGGUAAUACGUAGGUGGCAAGCGUUGUCCGGAUUUAUUGGGCGUAAAGCGAGCGCAGGCGGUCAAUUAAGUCUGAUGUGAAAGCCCCCGGCUCAACCGGGGAAGGUCAUUGGAAACUGGUUGUCUUGAGUGCAGAAGAGGAGAGUGGAAUUCCAUGUGUAGCGGUGAAAUGCGUAGAUAUAUGGAGGAACACCAGUGGCGAAGGCGACUCUCUGGUCUGUAACUGACGCUGAGGCUCGAAAGCGUGGGUAGCAAACAGG
rnacentral:rRNA from 1 species